GGGGAUUCGUCCGGCGGCAGGGCGGCGGAUUCUGGAUCCGCCGGCCCAGGUUCGAAUCCUGGUCCUCA
rnacentral:tRNA from 1 species